rnacentral:lncRNA from 1 species
AAACAUUGAAGGUGAAUAAGUGAACCACUAUUUAAGUAAAUAGAUGAAACAUAUUUUGUUAGAAUUAACCAGUUGCUGCUAAUAUAAUCCUCUCCAGGAAGAUCAGUUUCGGUCAAUACAAUCUGCUAUUUACUUUCUAAUUUCUAUGUAUUUAAGCAUGUUCAAACUCAGUACAAUUGUACAAAUGGAUAUAUUUUGAUUUGGUGACUUGCUAGAGACGAUUGUUCUGGACAGAACCUGGACCUUAUAAUAUCUACCUAUAUAUAUGUUUCUGGCUGCAUGUCUACUUAUUCUCUUAAGGCCACAGUAGGACCGAUCGACACUAGAUAUAUCUAAUAACUGUAUCAUGGUUUUCGCAUUUUUUUUUAAAAAAAAUAACUGUAUCAUGGGAUCACAUGCCAUUCUUUUUGCUGAAAAAUCACCUGGCUUUAUUGGAAAUGAAUUACCAGGACAGUUCCUGUGCACAUUAUGCUUGGUUAACACCUUUCAUUUAUCACAAACUAAUGGGGAAUAAACACUAAGUAUGCAUGUCUUCCUAUCCUUCUGAUCAUAGCCAUCUUUGGUGUCAAGUGAUAUUAAAAUUCUGAAACUACACACACAUAGUUUAGGGGUUGUUCAUACAAUAAUCUUGAUAAGUAUGUGUCUGUAAAAUCAGCAGAAGUGGUUGUUCCUUUAGGUUGCUAGAAAUGCUUUUAGCUACAACAUUAUUUCUGUCAAAAACAUUCCAGCUGCCACAUGUGUACUCGUUUCAUUGUGUAGUGUAUUUCCGAAAAUGAUAAUUCCUAUGAUUCAAAGUUUUUGGACUAAGUUUGAAACUCGAAGGACGACUGCCGUAGUAGGAUGAAGAAAUGAUGUCGCGCACUGGAGGGUGUUGCCGUCGGCCAUGCGUUAGGUGUCUGUUCUACUGGAAGUCGCUCCCAGGAGGGCGUCCAUGGUCUAUGCCUCGAGAAGCAAAGAAGGGACUCCAACUACAUCAUUGACGCAGCAGCCGAGCAGAGCAUGAAAGCAUGUCGUUGAUACAAAUAUUCAGUUGCCACGGCCAUUGAUACAACAGCGGGGCAGAUCAUGAAUGUCAGAGACACGGUGGAGGUGACGCUACCUUUCUCGUCUUGGCAUCAUGCAGAUACUGGUAGUUUAGAUGUUAUUUGCCACACUGCGGAGAUCUCAUGUUCAAGCCCAUCAGAAGUGCAGAAUUUUGGUAAGAUAAUCAUGAUUUCGGUUCCUGCUUAGUAGCCCUUUUAUGGACACAUCUGAGAAUUGUCUCAGUCCAUAGGAAAUACUGCUUUUGAUGUUGAUGAUUACAUACUAAUUCAUAUUAAUUCUAUGGUGAAGGUCGAUGUAAAUGAUUUUACUUGAGCAGACACUUCUCCUCCCGUCUCAUUUACCAUCAGUAUUGGAAUUGGAUGUUGUUCCUAUUACACAACAAAAUGGGCAAG